rnacentral:rRNA from 1 species
GUACCCAAAGGAAUUAAGCACCCGGGCUAACUUCGUUGCCAGGCAAGCCGCGGUAAUACGAAAGGGUGCAAGCGUUACUCGGAAAUUUACUGGGCGUAAAGCGUGCGUAGGGUGGUCGUUUAAGUCCGUUGUGAAAGCCCUGGGCUCAACCCUGGGAACUGCAGUGGAUACUGGGCGACUAGAGUGUGGUAGAGGGUAGCGGAAUUCCUGGUGUAGCAGUGAAAUGCGUAGAGAUCAGGAGGAACAUCCAUGGCGAAGGCAGCUACCUGGACCAACACUGACACUGAGGCACGAAAGCGUGGGGAGCAAACAGGAUUAGAUACCCUGGUAGUCCACGCCCUAAACGAUGCGAACUGGAUGUUGGGUGCAAUUUGGCACGCAGUAUCGAAGCUAACGCGUUAAGUUCGCCGCCUGGGGAGUACGGUCGCAAGACUGAAACUCAAAGGAAAUUGACGGGGGCCCCGCACAAGCGGUGGAGUAUGUGGUUUAAUUUCGAUGCAACGCGAAGAAGCCUUUACCUGGCCUUUGACAUGUCGAAGAACUUUCCAGAAGAUGGAUGGGUGCCUUCGGGAACUCGAACAACAGGUGCCUGCCAUGGCCUGUCGUUCAGCUUCGUGUCCGUGAGAAUGUUAGGGUUAAGUUCCCCGCAACGAGCGCAACCCUUGUCCUUAGUUGCCAGCACGUAAUGGUGGGAACUCUAAGGAGACCGCCGGUGACAAACCGGAGGAAGGUGGGGAUGACGUCAA